UGUCUCACUAGCGGGCUGAUCUUGAGGGUGUGCAUAUACACGAGACUGAAUAUUGAAGUCGUGCUUGAUUUUCUUUUACGAUACUUCCUAAUGCUGUAUGUGUGAUAUGUGAGUCCCGUUUCAUCAGCACCUGAGGUUUGCAACACUCUGCUGGAGGGGCCACCAACAGCUCAGAUUGCCCUGCACCAUGAAACUCACUGUAGUUCUGCUGCUCUGUGGCUGCUGUAUGCUAUUUCAACACAACUGUGAAGCCCAAGUCUUAUUUUCCUCAGUAGAAACAUCUCCACCACCCUCGGCCAGUAACUGCACGUGUGAGCUGGGCCAUGGAAAGUGUGCUGAAACCGGUGACUGCGGGUGUGAUCCGGGAUGGGGUGGACCGCGGUGUGAAGACUGUGUGCGAAUGCCCGGAUGUGUCCAUGGCACCUGCCAUCAGCCCUGGCAGUGCACAUGCAUGGACGGGUGGG